rnacentral:lncRNA from 1 species
AUUAAUAGUAAUUUAGUAUCACUAUUAGGCAACUUAAAGAAAAAUCAGAAAAAAGAAGAGAAACAGAUGAUCAUGAAAAUAUCAUCAUCGAUAUCAUAUCCUCUCAAUUCCAAAUUGCAAAAGAAAUUUAGAGUUUUCCAAAUCCAAAACCACAUUCAAUCAUAAGCAUAUCAAAAUCUAAACUAGCUCAAAUCAAGAUGGGUUAAAAUUUGAUUGAGUCAAUCUUCUUAAUAAAAAUUUC